GCAUCUCGCUGUUCGGGACCGUCUUCCUGAGCAACCGCGGAUUGAUCGUUCCCGAUCCAGUACCGCAGCAAGGAUUUGGCGUGUUCGUGGCCGCCAUCGUGAUCGCUGUCGCGGCGUCGCUGCUGAUGCGCUUCCAUGCCCGCAGGCAAUUGUUUGCCGCCGGUGUGAAGGUGACGAUCUGGCCGUUCGUGCUGNGCUGGUCGGUCUUCCCGCGCUGGCUAUCCUGAUUUUCGGCGCGCCGUUCGCAUUCGACAUG
rnacentral:misc_RNA from 1 species